AAUUCGAUAGUCCACGAUCACCUAACCUCUUUUAGAAAUUCAGCUUGUGUACUGCCGUUGAAAGCACACCUCUAAAAGAACCAGUGUGCCACUAUAACUACCUUAAAUCCGUAGCCAACUUACAUCAGGUCAAAGUGCAGCCCAUAAAGAGGCGUCGAUGGGUUACAACCAAAAUAAAGACACGGACUAAUACACUUAAAAAAUUACGAAGGUGGACUUGGAUGUAAUUUAAUAUAUCAUACCAAAAUGAAUUCUUAUCUAAGACAUGUACACAUCGCCCGUCACUCUACCCCCAAGGGUAGAUAAGUCGUAACAAAGUAGGUGUAAUGGAAAUUGCACCUGUCGGGGUAUAGCAUAUUAUAAUGCUCUUUACUUACACUAAAAAAAAAACUCAUAGUUUACUUCGCCCACGAGAGAGAUCUUAAAAUCAACUAUAACAAAAACAAUAAAUAUCAACAAACUACAUAGUACAGAAAUGGAAAACCAAAUUAAUAAAAGUAAGUAUUAAUAACUGUACCUUGUGCAUUAUGGUUUUACAAGAAAACCUUUAACUAAAUAAAUCCCGAAUUCUUCAUGAGAUGUUAAUAUACUGUUAAGAACCUAUUAGUAACUGUAGAACAAGUUUUAAAAGAUAUAUUAACAGAGGCUACAUACCAACCGCAUAAGAAAAUAGCUGGUUCUCAACCAACAUUAUAAAUUAAAGCAUGUAAAGCAUUUACACUGUUAAAUUACCGAGGAUAAGCCCGAUAAUUAAAGCUAUACAUCACAACUCUCAAAAUAUCUAAAUAGGCCUAGAAUCAGCCAAUAUUAGUGCCUAACCGCAACAAACCUAGAGAAAAUUACUAAUACCAACAUGCCACACAUAGUUGAGAUGGGGGCACAACUUUACCUCUCCCCCUAUAAUAUGUAAAAAUAAGUAUUUAUAAAUACUACAAAAAAUUAAACUAUAACUAAAAACCACUACACAUAAUAACUAACUAAGGAACUCGGCAAACCCUUAUUUCGACUGUUUAACAAAAACAUUGCCAUAUGAUUAAAUAUAUAGGGU
rnacentral:rRNA from 1 species